GAUGGACGCUCGCUACAGGCUUAACACAUGCAAGUCGAGGGGAAACGGCAUCGAAAGCUUGCUUUUGAUGGGCGUCGACCGGCGCACGGGUGAGUAACGCGUAUCCAACCUGCCCAUCACUUGGGAAUAACCUUGCGAAAGUAAGACUAAUGCCCAAUGACAUCCCACGAAGGCAUCCGAAUGGGAUUAAAGAUUUAUCGGUGAUGGAUGGGGAUGCGUCUGAUUAGCUUGUUGGCGGGGUGACGGCCCACCAAGGCAACGAUCAGUAGGGGUUCUGAGAGGAAGGUCCCCCACAUUGGAACUGAGACACGGUCCAAACUCCUACGGGAGGCAGCAGUGAGGAAUAUUGGUCAAUGGGCGAGAGCCUGAACCAGCCAAGUAGCGUGCAGGAUGACGGCCCUAUGGGUUGUAAACUGCUUUUAUAAGGGAAUAAAGUGGGUCACGUGUGACUUUUUGCAUGUACCUUAUGAAUAAGGACCGGCUAAUUCCGUG
rnacentral:rRNA from 1 species